rnacentral:misc_RNA from 1 species
CCGAGUUUACAACUCCCAAACCCCUGUGAACAUACCACUUGUUGCCUCGGCGGAUCAGCCCGCUCCCGGUAAAACGGGACGGCCCGCCAGAGGACCCCUAAACUCUGUUUCUAUAUGUAACUUCUGAGUAAAACCAUAAAUAAAUC